rnacentral:rRNA from 1 species
GGGUAGUUUGACUGGGGCGGUCUCCUCCUAAAGAGUAACGGAGGAGCACGAAGGUUGGCUAAUCCUGGUCGGACAUCAGGAGGUUAGUGCAAUGGCAUAAGCCAGCUUGACUGCGAGCGUGACGGCGCGAGCAGGUGCGAAAGCAGGUCAUAGUGAUCCGGUGGUUCUGAAUGGAAGGGCCAUCGCUCAACGGAUAAAAGGUACUCCGGGGAUAACAGGCUGAUACCGCCCAAGAGUUCAUAUCGACGGCGGUGUUUGGCACCUCGAUGUCGGCUCAUCACAUCCUGGGGCUGAAGUAGGUCCCAAGGGUAUGGCUGUUCGCCAUUUAAAGUGGUACGCGAGCUGGGUUUAGAACGUCGUGAGACAGUUCGGUCCCUAUCUGCCGUGGGCGCUGGAGAACUGAGGGGGGCUGCUCCUAGUACGAGAGGACCGGAGUGGACGCAUCACUGGUGUUCGGGUUGUCAUGCCAAUGGCACUGCCCGGUAGCUAAAUGCGGAAGAGAUAAGUGCUGAAAGCAUCUAAGCACGAAACUUGCCCCGAGAUGAGUUCUCCCUGAGACUUUAAGUCUCCUGAAGGAACGUUGAAGACGACGACGUUGAUAGGCCGGGUGUGUAAGCGCAGCGAUGCGUUGAGCUAACCGGUACUAAUGAACCGUGAGGCUUAACCUUACAACGCCGAAGGUGUUU